rnacentral:rRNA from 1 species
UAGGUGUGAUCUUGGCUUGGAGUUAAUGCUAGCUAAACGUCUAACACAUGCAAGUUGAGAAGUUUAAUUAAUAUUAAUUUAUUUAAUAAAAUUAAAUUACUAGCGUCGAGGUGAGUAAACAUGUUAUUGGUGAUAAUAUAAAAAGCAAAACUUUAUACGUACUUAUGUAUGUAAAUCUUACUAAAUAGUAUAGAUGUAUAUUAGACCUUAGCGUGUGGGAUUAGGUAUUCAAUUUAUUGAGCUUACAAUCUCUAGUUGAUUUGAGAGAAGGAUCAACCACAUGGGGUAUGGAAACAACCCCGCCCUGAGGCAGCAGUGAAGAAUAUUAGGCAAUGUGCGAAAGCAUGACCUAUUGAUUUAGCGGAAGUGAAGAAGACUAAAAGUUGUAAAGCUUAUACGUAUGUGAGCAUUUGAGGAUAAACAUAAAAAGAAGUCAUGGCAAAUACAGGUGCCAGCAGCCGCGGUAAUACCUGAGUGACUAGCAUUAUUCGGCAUGAUUGGGCGUAAAGGAUACGUAGACGGAGUUAAUAAAAAGUUUAAUCAAUUCAUAAAAGAUGGAAAACUUUAAUACAAACUCUUGAGUGAAUAUAGAGAUGAGAGAUUUUCUUAGAUAACGAUAAAAUGUAACUACCUAAGAAUGUUUGCCACUUUACUAAUGUGCUUUUCUUAUAUUUUCUGACGUUGAGGUAUGAAAGUAGGGAUCGUGAUCAGGAUUAGAGACCCUGGUAACCCUUACUGUAAACAAUGAUUGCUAAAAGUUAACGCUAAGCAAUCCGCCUGGUGAGUGUAGUCGCAAGACUCAAAGUUAACAGAAUUGGCGGGGAUUAAAACGAAUGGUGGAACAUGUGGUUUAAUGCGAUAAUCCACGUAGAAUCUUACCAGUUUGAUAGUAAAUAAUAAUUUAUAAUCAUUAUAUAAUUUAUAAUUUAAAGAGGUAUUGCAUGGCUGUCGUCAGUUCGUGUUUUGAGAUGUAAAAUUAAGUUUUGCAAACGAACAAAACCCACAGUUUAGUAUUUAUAAUUAUUAUUAUUAAAUUAAUAAUAAACAGCGAUGUCUAGUAUAUAUAUACAUAGUUGUAUAUAAAUAUUAGUUAUAUAUAUUUUUCUACCGAUUUUAAUAGUAUAAACAUUGUUAGCUAAAUUUAUUUAGUCAACAGUGUUCAUGUUUAUAAAAUUAAUGUGGCUGAAGUCAAGUCCUCACGGUCUUAGUAAACUGGGCAACACACGUGUUACAAAGGUAAAAACAAAGAGCAACAAAUGAGCAAUCAGAAGUAAUCUCCAAAAAUUACCAUAGUACGGAAUCAUUUCUGAAACUUGAAGUGGUAAAGUCGAAAUCAUUAGUAGUCGUAAAUGAGUAUGUUACGAUGAAUUAAUAAAUUAAUCCUGCACACACCGCCCAUCACACUCGGAGAGUUUAAAGCCUAGCAAAGUCGUAGACCAUUUUUUAAUUUUUCCAAUUAUUUUAAUAGUAUAGUAUACUUUGUUUAUAUGAAAAUAUAAAUACAAACUAAAAAGUUUUAAAGCUUG